GACGAACCGUGCGAACGUUGUUCGGAAUCACUGGGCUUAAAGGGCGCGUAGGCGGGCUGCCAAGUCAGGGGUGAAAUCUUUCGGCUCAACCGGAAAAGAGCCUUUGAUACUGGCGGUCUCGAGUGGGGUAGGGGCACGCGGAACUUCCGGUGGAGCGGUGAAAUGCGUAGAGAUCCGGAAGAACACCAGUGGCGAAGGCGGCCCGCUGGGCAGUGGCUGACGCUGAGGCGCGACAGCGUGGGGAGCAAACAGG
rnacentral:rRNA from 1 species